AUUGAACGCUGGCGGCAUGCUUUACACAUGCAAGUCGAACGGCGGCGCGGGCUUCGGCCUGGCGGCUGGUGGCGAACGGGUGAGUAAUACAUCGGAACGUGCCCAGUAGUGGGGGAUAGCUCGGCGACAGCCGGAUUAAUACCGCAUACGACGUGAGGGUGGAAGCGGGGGAUCUUCGGACCUCGCGCGAUUGGGGCGGCCGAGGGCAGGUUAGCUAGGUGGUGGGGUUAAUGCCUACCAAGGCGACGAUCUGUAGCUGGUCUGAGAGGAAGACCAGCCACACUGGGACUGAGCCACGGCCCAGACUCCUACGGGAGGCAGCAGUGGGGAAUGUUGGACAAUGGGCGAAAGCCUGCUCCAGCAAUGCCGCGUGUGUGAUGAAGGCCUUCGGGUUGUAAAGCACUUUUGGCGGGAACGAAAAGGACUGUGCCAAUACCACGGUUCGAUGACGGUACCCGCAGAAUAAGCACCGGCUAACUACGUG
rnacentral:rRNA from 1 species